CCUACGGGUGGCAGCAGUGGGGAAUAUUGCACAAUGGGGGAAACCCUGAUGCAGCAACGCCGCGUGGGUGAAGAAGGUUUUCGGAUUGUAAAAUUCUGUCAAUAGGGAAGAAAGAAAUGGAGGUACCUAACUCAGGAGCCCCGGCUAACUACGUGCCAGCAGCCGCGGAAAUACGUAGGGGGCAAGCGUUAUCCGGAUUUACUGGGUGUAAAGGGAGAGUAGGCGGCGAGGUAAGCGAUAUGUGAAAGCCUUAGGCUUAACCUGAGGAUUGCAUAAGGAACUGUCUAGCGAGAGUACAGGAGAGGAAAGCGGAAUUCCUAGUGUAGCGGUGAAAUGCGUAGAUAUUAGGAAGAACACCAGUGGCGAAGGCGGCUUUCUGGACUGAAACUGACGCUGAGGCUCGAAAGCGUGGGGAGCAAACAGGAUUAGAUACCCGGGUAGUC
rnacentral:rRNA from 1 species